GGCGACGGGUGAGGAACACGUGAGGAAUCUGCCUUCUACACUGGGAUAACUCCGGGAAACCGGGGCUAAUACCGGAUAUGAAACUUGGUGGCAUCACCGAGUUUGGAAAGUUUUUCGGUAGAAGAUGACCUCGCGGCCUAUCAGCUUGUUGGUGAGGUAAUGGCUCACCAAGGCGACGACGGGUAGCCGGCCUGAGAGGGCGACCGGCCACACUGGGACUGAGACACGGCCCAGACUCCUACGGGAGGCAGCAGUGGGGAAUAUUGGGCAAUGGAGGAAACUCUGACCCAGCGACGCCGCGUGCGGGAUGAAGGCCUUCGGGUUGUAAACCGCUUUCAGUAGGGAAGAAGCGAAAGUGACGGUACCUACAGAAGAAGCACCGGCUAACUAUGUGCCAGCAGCCGCGGUAAUACAUAGGGUGCAAGCGUUGUCCGGAAUUAUUGGGCGUAAAGAGCUCGUAGGUGGUUCGUUACGUCGGAUGUGAAAAUCUGGGGCUCAACCCCAGACCUGCAUCCGAUACGGUCGAGCUAGAGUUUGGUAGGGGAGACUGGAAUUCCUGGUGUAGCGGUGGAAUGCGCAGAUAUCAGGAGGAACACCAAUGGCGAAGGCAGGUCUCUGGGCCAAUACUGACACUGAGGAGCGAAAGCGUGGGGAGCGAACAGGAUUAGAUACCCUGGUAGUCCACGCCGUAAACGGUGGGCGCCAGUUGUGGGAACCUUCCACGGUUUCUGCGACGCAGC
rnacentral:rRNA from 1 species